UACGGGGGGGGCAAGCGUUGUUCGGAAUUACUGGGCGUAAAGGGCUCGUAGGUGGCCAACUAAGUCAGACGUGAAAUCCCUCAGCUUAACUGGGGAACUGCGUCUGAUACUGGAUGGCUUGAGUUUGGGAGAGGGAUGCGGAAUUCCAGGUGUAGCGGUGAAAUGCGUAGAUAUCUGGAGGAACACCGGUGGCGAAGGCGGCAUCCUGGACCAACACUGACACUGAUGAGCGAACAGG
rnacentral:rRNA from 1 species